rnacentral:rRNA from 1 species
CCAUGCAUGCCUAAGUAUAAGCGUUAUACUGUGAAACUGCGAAUGGCUCAUUAAAUCAGCAAUAGUUUCUUUGGUGGUGUUUACUACAUGGAUAACCGUAGUAAUUCUAGAGCUAAUACAUGCGUAAAUCUCGACUCACGAAGAGACGUAUUUAUUAGAUAAAGACCGACCUCGUUCUGCGGUGAAUCAUGAUAACUUCACGGACCGCAUGGCCUCGUGCCGGCGGUGUUCCAUUCAAAUUUCUGCCCUAUCAACUUUCGACGGUAGGAUAGAGGCCUACCGUGGUGUUCACGGGUGACGGAGAAUUAGGGUUCGAUUCCGGAGAGGGAGCCUGAGAAAUGGCUACCACAUCCAAGGAAGGCAGCAGGCGCGUAAAUUACCCAAUCCCAAUUCGGGGAGGUAGUGACAAUAAAUAUCAAUGCGGGGCACACAGUGUCUUGCAAUUGGAAUGAGUACAAUUUAAAUCCCUUAACGAGGAUCGAUUGGAGGGCAAGUCUGGU